GUAGAGAUUCAUACCAUAAACAGUUUUGGCGUGGUGGUGUGUUGGUUCAGUGGGACGGUACUCGAUGUUGAUGAUGGAGGCCUCGGGUACGACUCCUUGACUGUCUCUUAGGAGACAUUGAGCAGGUCGAGGCACAGAGGCAGAAUUCUCAAAGAUCAUGGAAUGACUGCAGAUUCAACUACAGUACAAAAGCCUCUGUUAUAGGUGUGGUGCAGUAUGUGGUCAGUGUGGUGCAGUAUGAGGACACAAGUGAAGUGUGGUGCAGUAUGUGGGGACAACAGACCACGAGUGAAGCUUCUCACAAUACACAACGGUGUUCCUUCAGGUAACAGCUGAUGUACGUGAAGGCCAAUGGAGAAGUGACAGAACCUCGAGCAAGAUUUAACUACCAGCAUGUUACUUCAGCCUCAUCAGUUAAGUUACUUGUACAGUAUAUCUUAGCUAGUAUCUUUAUCCAAUAAACCACUCGACACUGCUCCUACACUGGGCAGUGGAGGGUGUGUGGGGGCGCCUUGCUGACUGUUUGAGGCCUAAUAGGUCUGUGUGUAGACCUAGUGAUCAGUGUGUGGGGCCUGGCGGACACUCUUGGAGGACUGUGUUGGAGGGCUAUGGAGGACGAUCUGUAGACAGACUGAUAUUAGAGUAAAAUUUAUAUUAGUUGUAGUGACAGUAUAAAUAUACAGAACUGUAUGCCUAUUGAUUAUUAGUGAAAAUUAGUAGUAGUAGUAAACAUAGUAAAUUAAGCAAGUUGUUGUGGGUGGGUUUCAACUAACUUUACUAACCAUAACCUAACCUAAGAUAAACUAUUCCAAGAC